GAUUUCUAGGGUGUGUUUUCUCCCUGUGUCCUUCCCGAAUCUUGUAACUGUUGCUCCUCAGUUUGUGUGUCUGCACAUGUACACGCAAGGAUUUUUCUGAUGAAUGUGCAGGGAGCAGUGGUGUACUUAGUUUUACUUUACUUUUGCCAGAUUCUACUAAAAAUUUUAGGUGAGUUUAGCCCUGUUUAUUCAACUAAAUAAGACACUUGGGGAUUUAUAUUUAAAGGAAAAAUCUCAGUCAUUGUAAAUAAAUGACCUACAGUCAUUAUCGUGGAAAUCAAUCCGAGAAAUCCCUUUCUGGAGUUUUACAUCUUUUUUGGAACUCUUUUGGUAUGAUAGCUAUAUGACUUUAACACUUCUGAAGUAAUUGGACUUGGUGUUUAUAUAUCAACUUUACAGUUUAAAAAAAAAGACCAGCAUAGUACUUUGAUUUUAGAUUAUAAUUUUGCAUCAUUAAAAAACAGUAAAGGAUCUGGAAACAAGGGGACAUAUAGGAAUCUAAGAAGCAUGUAAUAAACAUAAGACUAAUGGACUAAUUAUUAAUGUACUAAUUAUGUAUGGUGCUCUUUGGCUGACUACUUCUUCCAUUUUACAUAAUGAAAGAAAUCCAAGAACAUAAAAUUAAAAUAUAUGAAUUUCCAGAAACAGAUGAUGAAGAAGAAAAUAAACUUGUUAAAAAGAUAAAGUACCGUUUACCUCUUGCUGUGGUGGGUAGUAAUACUAUCAUUGAAGUUAAUGGCAAAAGGGUCAGAGGAAGGCAGUAUCCUUGGAAUGUUGCUGAAGGUAAGGUUUUCUUCAGUGAAUGACUUUCUAUAAGAUCUCAAGACUGAUUAAAAAUUAGUAUUUAUAGUAAGUAGUAUGGUAUGCAUACUGUAUUGAUAUAGCCUAUAUUUCAAGGACAG